UAAUAUUUUUUAAUUAUUUUUUCUAUUUUAAGCUCGUGUUCGUCAUUGCGCCAUUUAAGGCAAUGCAUGUCGUGUUGAGAUCGCGCGAUGUAAACACGCCCGUCACUAUGCGCGUCGACACGUGCCUCUGUCGUAAUGAGUGACAGAGACAGAAGAACAAUUCCCCGGCCGGGCCACGAGAGUGACGAAGACGGGAGACCUGCAUCACGACACCAUUUCAGGAGAAACUCGCAGUGAUGCAAUUGGUAGGAGGUCUUAUGUCAUUAAAUCUGGUCAUUCGGAUUUGUAUUCUGUAUCGUGCUGUUAUGGUUUGUUUCUGUCUGCAUUGAAGUGAUUAGUUAUUUCUGGAUUUACACAGCACGGAACAAAUUUCAUUUCAACCGCUAAAAGUUUAAAGUGCAAUUUAAAUAUUGUGGGCGCAGCGGGGGCCUGUAUUCACAAUUUAGCUCCCAACUUUAGGCAUGACCGGGAGACUGACACGGAGCGACACAGAGCGACACGGUGCGACACAGAGGCGAACUCGCGCUAUAAACGGUAACGGAACGAUACACUGUGUCACGUUUUGUAUUUGUUGGAAAGCUCCCAACGACCUACGAGAUACAACUUAUAAUAACAGGGCAGGUGGAGCACGAUUUUGGGCAAUACGUUUAACUGAAUUUAGACCCUUCCGUCCGACGAUAGAGUACAAUAUAGUAUGGCAUGGACAUUGACAAGAUAUUAAUAGAACGUUGCAGAAUGUGCAGGCUUUAUUUGGUGAGAGCGCUUAAAAGGCUCGCAGUGAAGUUGGUUAAAAGGAAAAUGAAAAACAAAUAGAAGAACAGUAUUGUUGUGGAGAGACUUAGUCUCUUACCUUUAUAUAAGGAGAGAGGGAGACAGACAUACUGUAUAUAUAUAACCGGUUAGUGGUUAAUAAUGUUUGUAUAUAACGUUACAAGGUUCAGUUCAUUCAUUCGUUAAUCGCGAGGCGGGAGUCCGUCAGUUGCAGCCUGGAGGGAGUCAUCAUUCACAUCACGAGUGUUUAAUGACGUCUACACUUAUUUCUAAAAAAAUAUAUAAUAAUAAAAAGUUCAUAGUUCACAAUAUCGUAUGCGAUUCAUCGCAUUCUGCCGGCAUCCAGAGCGGUACGCCAGAAAAUUAAGAAAUCGAUGGCGGUAGGUGAUAAAUAACAGGACCAACUGACAGACACUCACAUCUCGUCUGCCCGUGAUCACGGUUGCUGAAACGUAACCGAAACGUAACCGAAACUGUAUGUUUUAAUAUAUACCGAAUAUGAUAUUGACAGACACCCUCUCACAGCAGACAGGACCUGGACAUCUGGACAUCUUAUGAAAUUCACAAUGACUAUAGAAAGAUAGUCCAUAAAAUAUGUAUACAUUAUCCACAACAGUACAGGAUGCAGUCGUAUGGUUUGUUACAUCUCGAAAUCGGUUUUCUGAAAAUGCUUUGAGACGAUCUUUUCCCACGAUUUUAACAUUUAUCUUCAAAGAUCAAAUAAUUUAAACAAAAACUCUACACACAGCACACCUAAACUAUCCUCUUCAGGCCUUCUCCGACUAGCAAAAAAUUAAAACAGCAUCGCAAGUUGUUUAAUAGUCGUUGAGAGAUAAUGAUUGAGCCUGGAAUCGGCUUUGUUCUGUAAAAUAUACAAAGAGAAGAAAUACUCCCCGCCGGAGACACGAUGAGCCGAGGUGGGGCCCUUUAUAGGAAUGUACUUCAAAAGAACAACAUAAUACAAACUAAUAAAAUGAUGUAUUUUACAAAAAAAAACUAAUAUGUAUUCUAUAAUAGAACAGCCUCAUUGAAGGUUCUAUUGUACAUUUCCGCUAAAUAAGAGAUCACGGCGGGUGUUACAGUCGCUCUACAUUUGUACGUUCCUGUGAGAAUGCGGUUUUUGGGACACUUUUUUCUAACAAACUGUUUCAUAUAAAAGACUCGGCGACGCGUGAAUCAAUAAAUACUAUUUAAUUUUGUUCAAAAGACAUCAUCCACCAUUUGUCCGGCCGCAGGAUGUGCCUUUGAUAUAAUUUACAUUAUUUUUUGUAAAUUCUCUCGUAUUACCAAAAGCAUUUUAUUAAAAUUAAUGCCACAGAAAAAAUAUAUCUGGGUAUUCAAGUAGAAUAGUAUAACUCUUUGCAUGCUGUAGGUGUGCGAGGGAAAUUAAAAUUACAAAUGUCUAGCAGCGGUUACAACAGGGAAAGAUUAAAAAAACACCUUUCACAUAAAACGAGUUAUAUUCUACUGUGAGGAUGUAAUGAGCGUCUGUUAUUACUAACAAUGUUGGAAAAAUUAAUCUUACAGAACAAAAUGUUGUAACAAAACAUUAUGGGAGGGGACUGUUGAUAUUUAUUUUGCGGUUAUUACGACGAUAGGGAUGGGCCUCGCGUGUUAUAUCGAUAAAUAUUGAAUAAAAAAAUUAAAAUGGCAUCCAGACGACCGCAUCGAUUGGUAUCACAGUUUGUUAUCAAAAAAAUGACUUAUACAGAACCAGCCGUCACAGACUUCCAAAUUGAAAAUCAAUGGAGUAAUAAUAGAUAUUUUCAAAUUGUUACUUUACAAAACAUAUUCAUGUGUAAUCCCUACGACAGCAGUUUAACGAAACCGAAUAGUACUUUUUUUUUGCAAAAGACAUAAAUUUAUAAAAAAAUGGUCUUUGAGUCUAUUAAAUUUAAAUAAUCUAUAAAAAUAUGAACAUGAAAUGAAAUUCGCUUCCCUAUAAUGAGUGUGAGUACAAAGUCACAGUGGGGCGUCCUGCGCGCGCGCAAUUCUAUUCACAAGGAGUUAUAAUGAGCCGCAAAAAAUAUAUAAAUAUUGGUUCAUAUUAAAAUAGAAUACGCUCCGGCUCACUCGGAUAAUUAACUCACAGGAGAGUUUACUGUAAAGAAACAUGUCGCCUUAUGAAUAUGCUCACUGAGUUGCUAUCAUCAUUACGACGUUACAUUUGUUUAAUACGGUAAUGUUCCAAAAUCAACCUCAAUUACAAUACACAUGUUAUCAUUCCACGGUAGGAACGUCUUUGACCCGGUGUAUCUCAAUCUAUCCCGAUGUGUAUCUUUGCCUCUCUCUGUGUGUCCUAGUUUGGCCCGGUGUAUCCCGGUGUAUCCUACGCGGGUCGCCCUACUUCCAUACAAGUAUCUCGCUCCAUGAGCCGGUACUGUGAACGUUUCCGUCACAUCCAUCGCCUUCCAUUGUCCACGACCACAUUUGUGACACUUUAUGAAACUAUUAACUUCUUUGAAAAGAAAAUAUAUCUUAUUGUAAUGUACUAAAGUACAAAUUAUGCGAAAUGUGGUAAGUUGUAGUUAUUUAUUUUUUGCCAAAAAAAUUAAGAUGAACUCCGAGAGAUCUUCAGCUGUAUCGCUUUGUAAUAAGGUUUAAAAUCCAGUCAGUGAAUAAUUGUCAGGAGGUGUGUUUGAGCGGUUAUGAGGAUUUGGUUACUAGUGUGUAAUCGAUACCUUGCAUUUCUUUAUAUUUCUUUAUAUAUUUAAGUUCGUCAUUACAACAACUAUAACAACAACGCUCGGUUUCAUUUCCGUUCCGCGGCUCCUUUUGACUUUUCAAGUAGAAAUAUUAUCGUGUACAUAAACAUUUGGAUUGAAAAUUAUUAUUUAUUUUAAUAUUUUUUAUAAAAUUUUCUUUAUUUUAGAUUCACCAAAUUAUUUUAAUGUUUAAAAGAAGAUAUCUUAUUGACUGAAAUUAUUAUUUUUUAUUUUAUUUGUGAAUAUUAUGAUGAGUUUAGUAUUAGGCUAACAAACACUGUUUAAGCCGGAACACAAACGUUCUGAAACGAUACUCACAUAAUAAUGAAUUUAACAAGAAAAUUAAAAUCUCUUAAGUUGUUCUGUCGGUGUGAGUAAUCGGAGAUUAACGUUUCGCUGAUAGUAGUGUGAACGAAUUGAGCUGACACUGAGGACGGGACGGUGGCCAGUGACCAGUGAGCAGUCGCCACCCACAGAGACUGUAACGCACACUUUUUUAGACGAUUCUCGACCUUAUUGAUAUGACGGUAGCAGUCCUGUAAGUCCGGAUAUAAGAUUAAACGCUCGGUUAACUCGGUUUGUGUAAAUAUUUGUGUCAAUUAGUCAAAAUGUGGUGGCACAUUGUAAUUCUCAAAUGCAAUUUUAUUGCCCAUCUUUAUAAAUCCAUAGGUUUUGGAACCUUAUUAUACAGUAAUAGUCAUAGUUAUCGAUUGCAUGUUCUGCAUACCAACCCGAGUGGUCGGUUGUACAUCCUAUUACACGUACUUCCUCUAUCCUUAAUCCUGAUUCUCAAAGAUACCAUUGAAAUAUUAAAACGAAGAAAAACACAACAGAAAGUAACUUCCGACGUUACAACAUAAUGUAAUGAUCGUUAGUUAGUCCACAAAGGAGUUACUUUUCGUGACUGUUGUACUCCUUACGUUAAUACAAAGUACAUUUCUUGUGUGCGACUCAACUGUUAUAUGAGGAACAAUUCAUUCUGCUCAUUUUUGUUGAAUGAAAAUUUAAUAAGAAAACAUUUUUUGCGAUUAUUAUUAUUUAUUUUUUGGAAUUCAAGAAUUUAAGACAUUAAAAAUGUUUCCAAGCAACUCUUUGUACGAUGAUGUAAAGCACCGACGUAUAAAAAGAGAAAGAGCAGUAAUUAAUUACUACUUAAAGUAGUCAUAGCCUCAGGAUCUCUAACGUAGUCUUUGUGAAGUAACAAAUUGUAUCAAUGAAUAAUUUAAAUUUGUAUAAAUACCAUGAGUAAAAGUAAAUAGUUCAUGAAGAAAAUAUAUCGGUAAAGACCGAAAA